ACUUUCUCUCUAACCGCCCCAAACCGCCUACCAGCAUGCUUUGUUUCAAAUUGAACUGGUUCACCAGGUGGCAGGUGCAAGUGUUUACCCAAACCGCCCACUUGAUCCAAUUACCAGAGAGCAAAAAUAGAGAAUACAACAUGUGUUAAUUAUGAGGGUUGCUUUGCGUGUCUGAUACAAACACUAGCCUACUUUUCUUUUCCAUCACCAGUCCUACCCUAUCUAUUGCAGAUGCCUCUGAGGCUCUGAACUCUAUUUGAAAUUUGAAAUAGUUGCAUUCAGCCUUAUUGAACAUACUACAAAUAGGGAUGAAUGAAAGCACUGAUUGUGAAUCACUUCCUCUCCUCUUGGCGGAUAUUUUGAAGACAGAGUUGGACGUGGCGACGACGGUUGCGGAAGGGGGAUGCUCUGGAUUUUCGAGGGUAAAGGCUAUGGAGAUUGGAGAUGGAGUCUGAAUCGGAGAGAUUGAGGUUUUAUAACAGUGGAGGCUUCAUGAUCAGAGGACAUCGAUUCAUGGCAGGGAGGAUCUGGGGUGAGUCUUAGUGAUAAAGAUUAAAGAGUAAGACAACGAGGGUUUGUCGGCAAGAGUGAAGGAUGUAUUCUGAAAGUGAUGUGGAGAUUGGCCAAAGAGGAGGAUAUGAUACAUGUUUUGGUGAAUUGAAGAAUAACAUUAGGAAGCACUUAACUGAAGAGACUUUCUUUGAAUGAUUAUGGUUCUUGAUUCAGUAAGAUAAUGGGUAUUAGGGUUAGUGCAGGAUGGUUGGUCGAAGUUAUAUAGAGAAGAGGAUUGAAUUAUUAUGGUUCUUGAUUCAGUAACAUUAGUUUGGAACAGAAGCUCUAAGCUGAAAGAAAAUUUAUUGUGCUAUUUGAAUUUUGAUAUAAGAAUUUUAGUGCCACGAUUUGCUGAAGUUUGGGGGUUUCCUUUACUGAUAACUGUUUUUAUUCAAAUUAAGUUUUAAUGCCAAAGCUUUAUGGGUUUCCUUCAAGUUUCCAUCAUAGAUUAAUUUUGAUAUAGUUUACUAAGCAGUUCACUUCUGUAGUCUCUUAAGUGGUUAUCCAAGACAUUGUUGGUACGCAGUAUUGCUUUGGAGUUACAAUUUUUGCUUGGCUUUUUAUAUUUUUGGUGUGCUAUCAUUAUGGGGUUUUGCUAAGUUCCAAAUAUACAUAUUCUCUAUUUGUUCUGCGCUCUUGAGUAUUUAUUUUGCUCUAGAUUUCUUUCAGGAAGCUUGCUUUCAAAGUUGCUAUCAGGGACUAACUUCAUUUCUUAGCCUUAUCAUACAAUGUUUUCUUUGUUUCUCUUUCUUGGGUGCCCAUAUACUUCAACACAUUAAGGCUUAUUAUAUUUAGCUAUUGUGAUUUUCAAAUGUCAAGAAAUACAUAUUUUAGAAAUAAACACAUAAACCAUGUUUUACUCAUUUUCCUAUUAGGUAGCAAAAUAUGAGCAUUGCUACCAUGUGUAUGUGCAACACGUUCUAAACUGAAGGCGUUUGCAACAUAAAUACCAAGCUGAAUUGAUUUUUGAAACUUAACUAUUUGAUUCAGUAAACAAAAACUAAAAGUGCUUUAACACCUAUUUGUGGAACAAGUUGUGAUAAAUGGAGCAGGCAAGGAGAUAGGAAGAACAAAUGUAGAUGCUGUGACUAUGGCUAGAGGAAUGGAAGUAGCUAGAGCAUAUGACACUUUAUCAUGUUAAGAAGUUAUUAGAAAGGUUUUUGCUCAAUCUUUGUGUCACUUUAGCUCUAUCAAAGCUGACUUGCUUCUUCAGAUUAUUUUCUUUUAUGGAAGAGCCACUUGAAAUACUUACAAGAGAAGACGUGACAGAAAUGUGUAUAAGAUAGCCUUCUUGAGAAUAUGGUUGUCAUAUAAGCAUGCCUAAAUUGUUAGAACCUAUAGAAGGCUAAGAUUGUUAUGCUUUUUUUUUAUCAAGGGAGGAAUAAUAGUUAAGAAGAGAAUGACAAUUAGAAGAUUGAUUUGUCUAAUUAUUGUAUUGUAUGGAGAUAAGCAUCUCUUCUUAAAUGCAAGUAUUGGGCGUGAACUGAUGUGUUCGCCACACACAUGGCUUCCCACACAUGUUUUCUGGACGCAAUGUACACAAGUAUGAGCUUACUUCCGACUUCUGAGAAACCUGUAUAACUCUCCUCCAGAACAUGCCAUAUGUUCAUUUUGUUUUGGCUCUUGAUUUUCUCUGAGCAUCUUCCUUCUCCAAGAAUCCUCCUUGAUAUGCACUUCUUUUCAAAUUUGAAAUUCAAAUUUCUUGGUAGUAGAGAAUAAUAGCAAAGGAAGCAUGGGAUGCUACUGUGUUAGGUUCAAAACAAGCACCUCCUGAUUGUAUUGGCCCGCAACCUAUGUUGCUUUUGGCUACGGGCAAAGCCAAGAUAAUCUAGAUGAUAUGAGGUCUACCAAUGAAUUUAUAGCUAUGGGUAUAGAUGAAAAUAUUGAUUAUUUUGUGGGUGAGUUUGUUAUGGAAAGGUUAAGAACUUACAAUAUAAUAGAAAAUUAUUGUCUUUUGCUUAAAUUUGUCUUAUGGUCUAUUAAGAUGCUUAUUUUGAUAUGGUGAAUGUAGUUGAAAGUACUGUCUUUGCUACCUUUGCUUAAUCUGUUUUCCUUUGAUUCAGUGGGCAGUAGCUAAAGAAUUAACCUAAAGUGAAUAUUGCUUCUAAUGCUGCAGCCUGCAGGAGAGAAACAAUCAACAAAGGAAAAUAAAGCAUAAGAUGAAAAAGGAAUGAUUUUAUGCCAGUUUGGUGUAGUUGGAAAGCAACAAGCUCACAGGAGAGAUGCCUCCGAGACUUGGCAGGAAACUAGGAGCAGAAUUAUUGUUUGGAAGAAACCAUUCUGUUCAAUUUAAUGAGUUUGAACUUUACAUAGAGUGACAAAAUACCGGCCUCGGCGAUGGAGUCUUUGGUUAAAAAGUUUGAGUUGUACUAAGGGAAGAUCUGGUGCACUAUUUCACGACUUUCUCAGUAGCUGCUAACACUGAAGGUUAUCAAAUAAUCAGACACGAGUUCAUAAUCAGUGUCCAAUUUGAAAGGAAGAUACUGCUGGUUUAUGAGCAAGUUAGUUAUCACUGCUAAUCCUUCUUCAUUUGUGUCUUUCCCAGAUAUUGCUUAUAAAAUGCUAGACUCAUCCUAUUGUUUCUGGAAUCUAAAUAUGUUGGAUUCUACUUUAAACUUUCUUUGAUGUACCUUUUGGUUCAUUUUUUAUUCCCUUGACUAUUAUUUUGUGAACUGUGAAUGUUCAAAGUUGGGAUUUGUCCAAUGCUAUAUUUCCCUGUUGUUAUUCAUUGUUGUUCAGGUUUUCAGCAAUGAUGAAUGAUGUAACAUUGGAGGAUAACCUUGAAACUUUAUUCAAUGAGCUACACUGCUACACUUAUGUGUCUUGGUGAACUAGGAAUGAUUUCAAUACUUGGGACUUUCUUGGCUUAAUUUAGGAAGGCUUGAAGUAUUUGUAUUAGGGUCUGUUUAAGUGUAGGAUUUCAACGAUUAGCAUAUAAAUUGUUGUAUUUUUGUUUCUUUAUUUUACAAUGAAAAGCUAUUAUCAUGUAAAUUUAGUCCCUUCUCCUAGAACCAAAGUAAUCAGUGUGGUUUAUUAAUGAAUCUCUUUCAAUGAAAUCUGCCCAUGCCUUUGCAACAUGUUUUCAUCUA